UACGUAGGGGGCGAGCGUUGUCCGGAUUUAUUGGGCGUAAAGAGCUCGUAGGCGGUUUGGUAAGUUGGAUGUGAAAUCUCCAGGCUCAACUUGGAGGGGUCAUUCGAUACUGCCAUGACUAGAGUUCGGUAGGGGAGUGUGGAAUUCCUGGUGGAGCGGUGAAAUGCGCAGAUAUCGGGAGGAACACCGGUGGCGAAGGCGGUUCUCUGGGCCUGUACUGACGCUGAGGAGCGAAAGCGUGGGGAGCGAACAGG
rnacentral:rRNA from 1 species